UCCAGACACAAGAGAAGGAUUUCCUUACAACCGAGUUUCCACGCAUCCCUGUGUUGUACUUACUUCCGAAAAUCCACAAGAGCCUUGCCAGUCCACCAGGGAGACCCAUAGUCUCAGGCAUUGGGUCUGUCCUGGAACCUUUAUCUAAAUUUGUAGAUACCUUCCUACAACCAUUAACCUGCCACAUACCAGUGUGUCUGAAGGACACCACAGAUUUGUUGGUUAAAAUGAAUGCCCUGAAUGCACUAGACCCUGAUAUUAUACUUGUGAGCGUGGAUAUACAAAGUUUAUAUACCUCUAUCCCACAGGAUGAAGGCAUAAGGGUCAUAGAAGAGGCUUUUUUAGAUACCAACUUGUCACCUCAGUUAAUGUAUUUUUUAAUUGAUUGUUUAUCGAUUGUACUACAAAAAAAUUAUUUCAGGUUUUCAGGCGAGUACUAUUGGCAACGACAGGGCACGUCGAUGGGUGCUGCAGUAGCACCAGCUUUUGCCAACCUCUUCGUGCAUAAUCUGGAAAAAAAAGUAUUCCUGAAAGGGGCAUUUAAAGAACAUAUCAUCCAGUAUUUCCGAUAUGUGGAUGAUAUCCUUAUCUUUUGGAAAGGUCCUGUUCAAACUUUUGAGGAGAUGGUCGUAGAAGCCAAUAAAGCCCAUAAAACCAUUAAAUUUACAUCUGAGAUUUUGACCCCUUAGCCACACAUUCAGAAUGUUUCAGAAUCCAGUUAUGCACAUUGGUGACAGCUGAAGCUUAUCUAUGAAAUAAAAUUGAAUGAGAAACAUAAAGGCCCUUAGCCUUUUGGAAAAAGAACUUUAUUAUAUAAGGACACGAUUUACGUUGUUACAAACUGAAGUUUAUCUUCACUUUUGAAACAUUGUUUUCCCUCACUUGUUUGCCACUUGGAGGAUGGGCUUAACGCUUUGAUGUCAUUUCCUGUUAAACACUAUAUUAUACGUUGUUUCUCAUCCAUUGUAUACACUUGACAAAGAGUCCUUUGAGACUCAAAACAUGUUGUGUUGAACAAUAAACACCUAAUUGAACAAUAAACACCUAAUUGAGCAGUUAAUCCUGCAGUCUGGAUCGUUCCUUGAAAAACGGUAUUUGUG